rnacentral:rRNA from 1 species
AUAUCAAUAAGCGGAGGAAAAGAAACCAACAGGGAUUGCCUCAGUAACGGCGAGUGAAGUGGCAACAGCUCAAAUUUGAAAUCUGGCUUCUUUGAAGUCCGAAUUGUAAUUUGUAGAGGAUGUUUCGGCUCUGGCUCUGGUCUAAGUUCCUUGGAACAGGACGUCAUAGAGGGUGAGAAUCCCGUAUGCGAUUGGAAGCCAGUGGCCAUGUGAAACUCCUUCGACGAGUCGAGUUGUUUGGGAAUGCAGCUCAAAAUGGGUGGUAAAUUUCAUCUAAAGCUAAAUACUGGCCAGAGACCGAUAGCGCACAAGUAGAGUGAUCGAAAGAUGAAAAGCACUUUGGAAAGAGAGUUAAACAGUACGUGAAAUUGUUGAAAGGGAAGCGCUUGCAAUCAGACUUGCUUGCAGUCGAUCAUCUGGUGUUCUCACCAGUGCACUCGGUUGUGAUCAGGCCAGCAUCAGUUUGGACGGUUGGAUAAAGACCUUGGGAAUGUAGCUUCUUUCGAGGAGUGUUAUAGCCCCUGGUGCAAUGCAAUCAGUCUGGACUGAGGACCGCGCUUCGGCUAGGAUGCUGGCGUAAUGGUUGUAAGCGA